UACAGAGGGUGCGAGCGUUAAUCGGAAUUACUGGGCGUAAAGCGUGCGUAGACGGUUAUUUAAGUCGGGUGUGAAAGCCCCGGGCUCAACCUGGGAAUUGCAUUCGAGACUGAAUAGCUAGGGUACGGUAGAGGGAAGCGGAAUUUCCGGUGUAGCGGUGAAAUGCGUAGAUAUCGGAAGGAACAUCAGUGGCGAAAGCGGCUUCCUGGACCAGUACCGACGUUCAGGCACGAAAGCGUGGGGAGCAAAC
rnacentral:rRNA from 1 species